AUCCAAUUGACGAGUCCCGAAUAGGACGAAACGCGCGUCCUGGAU
rfam:Schistosoma haematobium scaffold21_37, whole genome shotgun sequence.